rnacentral:lncRNA from 1 species
GUGUUCUCCGCGUGCUCCAUCCCGGUGGAAUGUGCCCCAGCGGUGCAUGUUUUCCAAACCGGAAUCUCCCCUCAGAUGGGCUCUACCUCGGGGCCGUGGCGCCCAGGAGCAGACCAGCUCCUUCUCAAGGUCCGGGUCUGCCCCGGCAUGGCUCGGCAACGGGCUCCCUGGGACACCCCCAGAGUAGAACCUCCUCCGGCCUAUCCCUCUGGAGCGGCGGGAAAACAGGUUACCCUCUCCAGGGUGAAACUUGCCCAGGAGCAAGAUUCCAUGGCAGGAUGGGCUGCACUGAUGCCUUUUCCAGAUGAAACGCCCAGAAGUGCAGCUGCCACCGGAACAGAGCAAGACAAUUUGUUUACAAGGCAGGCCCGUGCUCUUGGCGACCGAGGGCAGGAGGAAGGGGGAGGCUGCCGUCUCCGGGUCCACGCAGGCAGCUCAGGGGGAUGGCCUGCAUUGUUCCAGAAACUGGCUCAGAAACUGCUGAUUUGAGGGCUUGGGAGACACUGGAAAGACAAGAUUUGUACCGUGAGGACGCCUCUCCUCCUAUCAAUAGCAGAGGGAGCUUGAACAGCCAGCACAGUUUAGGCCUUGCCUUCCCCUCUGCAGUGAAUCCCACCAGGAGAUGUCCAGUGAAUGCUGGACAUUCCCAACCCUCUGAGUCACCCAGGGUUGCGCCCAGCCCCGAGCCAAGGGCCAAGGACACCAGCUGUGCUGCAGGUCUGCAGCCUCUGAGCACCUGAAGGUGGACAGAAGGAUUCAGGGUCUGACACGUUUUGCAGUGAAAACUGCAAUCCCAUACUUUUUUCCAGGAAAACCUGGUAGCAGAAUUGGAGUUUAGAGAGUGGGGUCAAUAGGACAAAAGGCUGCUGGUGAUUUUUCCACUCUACAUUAUUUGGCUUUGGAUACUAGGAAAAAUGACACUCAUAAAAGGCCUCCUUUGUGUACCUACAAUGGGAGUGGUUGCUCAGUUGCUAGUGCGAGUAUCAGUGAAUUUUUAAGGGCAGACAAGGCCACUGGUUGGGGGGGAGCAGUGCUGCAGCUGUAGGGGUAUGGUGGAGUGGGGGCUUUGCCUGACAGUGCUGAAACAUUAAAACCCCAGCACCCCAGCCCUGCUCGCUGGAAUGUGGCUGCCCCCCGUCCCACUGUGGUCCCACUCACUGUCACAGGGCACUGCAUGGCAUCUGGAUCCAUGCACUCCCAGUGAGGUCAGGCUUUCCAGGCGACAGCUCCGAUCAUUGUAAUUCCAAAGGAUUGCAAAGGGUGGGGGAGGAAACAUCUCUAUUUUCCUUCUAUUUUUAUGAGCAUAUGAUAGCACUUUGAUAUGAAAUUACUUGUUUUGCUGCAUCCCUUGGUAUUCCGGGCUGGGCUCCAAGCCACCCGGGGGCAGUGACAGACUGCCAGUGACCUCAAAGGCCGCUGCCCCAGGCCUGGCACCAGCCACUUUCUUCCUUGGUUUGUGUCCAUUUUACAAAAACACAGAAGAAAAAAC